AUUGAACGCUGGCGGCAGGCCUAACACAUGCAAGUCGAGCGGAGCGGCGGACGGGGGCGUAAGGCCAAUGAAUCUGCCAGGGAGCGGGGGAUAGGGUCAGGUAAUGGGCGCGAAUACCGAAUACUCUCAGCUUCGCCUAGGUCGGAUUAGCUAGUUGGUGUGGUAAGGGCCUACCAAGGCGACGAUCCGUAACUGGUCUGAGAGGAUGAUCAGUCACACUGGAACUGAGACACGGUCCAGACUCCUACGGGAGGCAGCAGUGGGGAAUAUUGGACAAUGGGCGAAAGCCUGAUCCAGCCAUGCCGCGUGUGUGAAGAAGGUCUUCGGAUUGUAAAGCACUUUAAGUUGGGAGGCGUUACCCACAGAAUAAGCACCGGCUAACUUCGUGCCAGCAGCCGCGGUAAUUC
rnacentral:rRNA from 1 species